rnacentral:rRNA from 1 species
UACAGAGGGUGCGAGCGUUGUCCGGAAUCACUGGGCGUAAAGGGCGCGUAGGUGGUGGCUUAAGCGUGCGGUGAAAGCUCGGAGCUCAACUCCGAGUCGGCCGUGCGAACUGGGCUCACUGGAGCAUAGUAGAGGCAGGUGGAAUUCCGGGUGUAGCGGUGGAAUGCGUAGAGAUCCGGAAGAACACCGGUGGCGAAGGCGGCCUGCUGGGGCCGUACCUGACACUGAUGCGCGACAGCAUGGGGGAGCAAACAGG